UGCAAGUCGAACGGGACCCGCAAGGGUUCAGUGGCGAACGGGUGCGUAACACGUGAAGAAUUUGUCCAUCGGCGGGGGAUAGCCGGCCCAACGGCCGGGUAAUACCGCGUACGACCCUCGGGGGGCAUCCCCUGAAGGUGAAAGCCGCAAGGCGCCUAUGGAGAACUUCGCGGCCUAUCAGCUAGUUGGUGAGGUCAUGGCUCACCAAGGCGACGACGGGUAGCUGGUCCGAGAGGAUGACCAGCCACAUUGGGACUGAGACACGGCCCAGACUCCUACGGGAGGCAGCAGUGGGGAAUAUUGCGCAAUGGGCGAAAGCCUGACGCAGCGACGCCGCGUGUGGGAUGACGGCCUUCGGGUUGUAAACCACUGUCGCGAGGGACGAAGAUCUGACGGUACCUCGAGAGGAAGCACCGGCUAACUCUGUGCCAGCAGCCGCGGUAAUACAGAGGGUGCGAGCGUUGUCCGGAAUCACUGGGCGUAAAGGGCGCGUAGGUGGCCUGGUAAGUAGGGGGUGAAAUCUCGAGGCUCAACUUCGAGGCUGCCUCCUAAACUGUCAGGCUCGAGCAGAGUAGAGGCAGGUGGAAUUCCCGGUGUAGCGGUGGAAUGCGUAGAGAUCGGGAAG
rnacentral:rRNA from 1 species